rnacentral:rRNA from 1 species
GGAAUCUUGCGCAAUGGGCGAAAGCCUGACGCAGCCAUGCCGCGUGGAUGAUGAAGGUCUUAGGAUUGUAAAAUCCUUUCAGCGGGGACGAUAAUGACGGUACCCGCAGAAGAAGCCCCGGCUAACUUCGUGCCAGCAGCCGCGGUAAUACGAAGGGGGCUAGCGUUGCUCGGAUUUACUGGGCGUAAAGGGCGCGUAGGCGGACAGUUAAGUCGGGGGUGAAAGCCCGGGGCUCAACCUCGGAAUUGCCUUCGAUACUGGCUGUCUUGAGUACGGGAGAGGUGUGUGGAACUCCGAGUGUAGAGGUGAAAUUCGUAGAUAUUCGGAAGAACACCAGUGGCGAAGGCGACACACUGGCCCGUUACUGACGCUGAGGCGCGAAAGCGUGGGGAGCAAACAG